rnacentral:rRNA from 1 species
UACGUAGGGUGCAAGCGUUAAUCGGAAUUACUGGGCGUAAAGCGUGCGCAGGCGGUUAUGUAAGACAGAUGUGAAAUGCCCGGGCUUAACCUGGGAACUGCAUUUGUGACUGCAUGGCUAGAGUGUGUCAGAGGGGGGUAGAAUUCCACGUGUAGCAGUGAAAUGCGUAGAUAUGUGGAGGAAUACCGAUGGCGAAGGCAGCCUCCUGGGAUAACACUGACGCUCAUGCACGAAAGCGUAGGGGAG